AGAGGCGAUGAGUACAUGGAGACAGAAGCAAAGAAAGAGAGAGGCGAUGAAAUCAAAAGCCUAGGCAGAACGGUAAAAGGCACGGAGUGGGGACUGGGGAGAGAGUAAAUCUGCCACCAUCAUCCGUUUUUCUUCACGCUGCCACUCUCUAAUACGCAAACCCAAAUCGUGAGAUAGAGUUCGUAAGAGGGAUAAUCGUUUCGGUACAAAUCAAAAGAAAAAAGACUGGGAUAGAGAGAGGGAGUUCACUAAGCCGUAUGCCCGCAAAAGUCCGAUCUUCCACCACCAUCAGACUCCUGUAACUCCACAGAAUACUAUUUUUUUGUGCCAGAUAAAACCGUUGGGUCUUCUGCAAAAAGAAUUACUCAAUCAAGGUUUAAGAUGAUGGUAACUUGGUAAAGAAGUGGACUACUAAGGAAAAUCUCUACCCAAUCCGCAAGCUUGAUCAGUCUAAAUUGCAGAACCUAUUCACAAUUAUGGGGUGCUAAUGCUAGAUGGCACAAUGGCAAAACAAUAAGCCACAUGGAGCAAACGGACGGAAGUUUAUAUACUUGAGGGUGGCCGAUGCAAUAAUAGAUUUGCCAUGAAAUGUUCAUAAAAGAAAUGUUCAACCUGUGUUGAUGCAAAGGAUAACUUCCACUCUUUUAAGUUUAUGAAAUUUUAUAUGCAUUACUUUUGUGAUCUAUUGCCUUUAUGAAAUUGUAGAUAUGUUUCUGCAAAUAUUGUGGUUUAAAAUGUGACAAAAUGUAUUGUUUUAAAUGUUGUAAACUAAACAAAAAAUGAGAAACCUUUAAAUAUUUGAAUUCUUA